UGAAGCUGGAAUCGCUAGUAAUCGCGGAUCAGAAUGCCGCGGUGAAUACGUUCCCGGGUCUUGUACACACCGCCCGUCAAGCCAUGGGAGCCGGGGGCGCCUGAAGUCCGGGACCGCGAGGACCGGCCUAGGGCGAAACUGGUAACUGGGGCUAAGUCGUAACAAGGUAGC
rnacentral:rRNA from 1 species